CCUACGGGUGACUGCAGUAGGGAAUAUUCCACAAUGGGCGCAAGCCUGAUGGAGCACCGCCGCGUGGGUGCAGAAGGUCUUCGGUUCGUAAAACACUGUUGUUCGAGAAGAAAGUGCGUGAGAGUAAAUGUUAAGGUUUAGACGGUAUCUAACCACAAAGCCACGGCUAACUACGUGCCAGAAGCCGCGGUAAUACGUAGGGGGCAAGCGUUAGCCGGAUUGAUUGGGCGUAAAGGGCACGCAGGCGGCUGUUUAAGUCUGAGGUGAAAGCCUUCGGAUUAACCGGUGUAGUGAAUUGGAAACUGGUCAACUAGAGUGCAGUAGAGGAGAGUGGAACUCCAUGGGUAGCGGUGAAAUGCGUAGAUAUAUGGAAGAACACCAGUGGCGAAAGCGGCUCUCUGGUCAGUAACUGACGCUGAGGUUCGAAAGCGUGGGUAGCAAACAGGAUUAGAUACCCUGGUAGUC
rnacentral:rRNA from 1 species